GCGGGCAUAGCUCAAUUGGUAGAGCUCCACCCUUCCAAGGUGGUUGUUGUGAGUUCGAAUCUCAUUGCCCGCU
rfam:Haloalkaliphilic bacterium ACht6-1 contig00010, whole genome shotgun sequence.